rnacentral:rRNA from 1 species
GUGAGGAAUUUUCCGCAAUGGGCGAAACCCUGAUGGUGCAACGCCGCGUGGAGGAUGAAGGUCUUCGGAUUGUAAACUCCUGUCAUCUGGGAGUAAGACCUGACGGUGAAUAGCCGGCAGGGUUGAUAGUACCAGAAGAGGAAGGGACGGCUAACUUCGUGCCAGCAGCCGCGGUAAUACGAAGGUCCCAAGCGUUGUUCGGAAUCACUGGGCGUAAAGGGAGCGUAGGCGGCGUGGUAAGUCAGAUGUGAAAUCCCGGGGCUCAACCCAGGAACUGCAUCCGAUACUGCCAUGCUUGAGGGUUGGAGAGGUAGCUGGAAUUCUCGGUGUAGCAGUGAAAUGCGUGGAUAUCGAGAGGAACACUCGUGGCGAAGGCGAGCUACUGGACAACAUCUGACGCUGAGGCUCGAAGGCCAGGGGAGCAAAAGGGAUUAGAUACCCGUGUAGUCC